rnacentral:pre_miRNA from 1 species
GUGCUCGGUUUGUAGGCAGUGUCAUUAGCUGAUUGUAGUCGGCUGCUUACAAUCACUAACUCCACUGCCAUCAAAACAAGGCAC